rnacentral:rRNA from 1 species
AGGGAAAGAGGGAGGCAGGCCUAACACAUGCAAGUCGAGCGGAUGAAUGGAGCUUGCUCCUGGAUUCAGCGGCGGACGGGUGAGUAAUGCCUAUUAAUCUGCCUGGUAGUGGGGGAUAACGUCCGGAAACGGGCGCUAAUACCGCAUACGUCCUGAUGUAGAAAGUGGGUGAUCUUCGGACCUCACGCUAUCAUAUGAGCCUAGGUCGGAUUAGCUAGUUGGUGGCGUAAAGGCCUACCAAGGCGACUAUCCGUAACUGGUCUGAGAGGAUGAUCAGUCACAUUGGAACUGAGGCACGGUCCCGACUCCUACGGGAGGAAGCAGUGGGGAAUAUUGGACAAUGGGGGAGAGCCUGAUCCAGCCAUGCCGCGUGUGUGAAGAAGGUGUUCGGAUUGUAAAGCACUUUAAGUUGGGAGGAAGGGCAGUAAGUUAAUACCUUGCUGUAUUGACGUUACCAACAGAAUAAGCACCGGCUAACUUCGUG